ensembl:lncRNA
CCUAAUGUAGUCAAUGCAACAUUCUGCUGCCACAAAAAUGAUAAUUAUAAAGAAUACGCAGAAGCAUGAAAACUGUUCAUAACAUCAUGUUUGUUGAGAAAAAGCAGGAUACACAAUUUGCAUGAACGCUGUGAUUGCAACCACGAAUAAGCACAGUCUCCAGAGCAACAGGGCUCAGAAGUUGCGGCUCCCAGGCCCCAGAGCCCAAGCUCAGCAGCUGUGGCACGCGAGCUUCGUCAUCCUGCCGCAUGUGAGAUCUUUCGGAUCAGGGAUUGAACCCUUAUCUCCUGCACUGCCAACUUUCUUACCUAUGGAAUUCCACUUCUGACGUGAGAUGCAAAAACUACAGUCUUGCAAAACUGCUUAACCAGCUGCCACACUGGGUAAGUCGAAAUCCCCGGGACAAAUCCAUAGACACAGGACGCCUGCUUCCCUGAUGAAACCUGGCUGACGGUGUGGGUGAGGGUUUGUCUCGAUUAGAAACUGCCGAACAGUUUUCAGAGUGGCUGUGUCUGUUUCCACUUGUGUAGCAGCCUCAUCCUUCUGUGAUCUUUUCACCCUUUCAAACUUCCCC